rnacentral:rRNA from 1 species
UAGUCUUGGCCCUAAACUAUGUUCACUAGGUGUCGGGGGGUUUCCCUCGGUGCCGCAGCUAACGCAUUAAGUGAACCGCCUGGGGACUACGGCCGCAAGGUUGAAACUCAAAGGAAUUGGCGGGGGCCCGCACAAGCGGUGGAGCAUAUGGCUUAAUUCGAUGCAACGCGAAGAACCUUACCAGGGCUUGACAUGCACCUGCAAUCCCCCGAAACGGGGCCGCCUUCGAGGGUGGUGCAC